rnacentral:rRNA from 1 species
AACGUAGGACACAAGCGUUAUCCGGAGUUACUGGGCGUAAAGGGCGUGUAGGCGGACCUAUAAGUCUAUUCUGAAAGCUCCUGGCUAAACUGGGAGAGGCGAAUGGAGACUGUAGAUCUAGAGUGAGGAAGAGGAAAGUGGAAUUCCGCGUGUAGUGGUGAAAUGCGUAGAGAUGCGGAGGAACACCAGUGGCGAAAGCGGCUUUCUGGUCUGUAACUGACGCUG